GGGGCCGUAGCUUAGCUGGUUAGAGCGCGGGACUCCAGAUCCCGCGGUCGUGGGUUCAAAUCCCACCGGCCCCA
rnacentral:tRNA from 1 species